rnacentral:misc_RNA from 1 species
GGAAAAUCUAGUGGCUCCCAGAAGUUUAAGUAUAGGUCAAUAAUGUUUAAUAUCAAGGAUCCAAACAACCCAGAUUUCCGGAGGAAAGUCCUUACAGGACAGUAUUCACCUCACAGUAUUGUUGAUUUGAGCCCAGAAGAAAUGGCAAGUGAUGAAAGGCAAAAGGAGAACAAGAAGAUCAAAGAAAAAGCUUUAUUUAAUAGCCAGCUUGGAGGUCCUCCCAAGGCCAGCACAGAUAAGUUUAAGUGUGGUAGGUGCGGGAAAAAUCAGACCACCUACUACCAGAUGCAAACUCGGAGUGCUGAUGAACCAAUGACAACCUAUGUCACAUGUGUAAACUGUGAUAAUCGCUGGAAGUUCUGUUAAACUAGAUCUUGUUUGCAUUUGUGACUCAGUGGUAUGGAUGAAGAACUUCGUAGGUCCUUUCACUACUAUGAUGUAGUUUCUAGGUUAUUUUUUAAUUGUCUUCUUUGAGGCGGUCUUUGAUAUGCAUGGUAC